UGCAUUUACUGCAUCAAAGGGGACAUUGCGAGGGAGCGUAUUAAGCGCUUCCAACUUCAAGUGGAUACUGUUUCAGACAAAAGCCAUUCAUCCAUUACAGGUCUUGGAUUCAGAGUGGACGGUCAAGCCCUUCAGUUAUUUGCUGUAACUCCAAAUUCUGUGAGUUUAUUCAGCUUGCACAAUCAACCACCCAGGCGGCAAAUGCUAGAUCAGAUAGGGUGCACUGUCAAUAGUGUAACAAUGAGUGAUCGCUCGGAGUUGAUAAUUGGUCGACCUGAAGCUGUUUAUUUUUAUGAAAUUGAUGGGCGUGGUCCUUGUUGGGCAUUUGAGGGAGAGAAGAAAUUCCUAGGGUGCUUUCGUGGUUACCUUUUAUGUGUUAUUGCAGAUCAAAGAAGUGGCAAAGAUGCUUUCAAUGUUUAUGACCUGAAGAACCGCUUAAUAGCCCACAGUCUAGUAGUUAAGGAAGUUUCUCAUAUGCUCUGUGAAUGGGGUAACAUAAUACUUAUAAUGUCUGAUAAAUCAGCUUUGUGUAUUGGGGAGAAAGAUAUGGAAAGCAAACUGGAUAUGCUCUUCAAGAAAAAUCUCUAUACUGUGGCCAUCAAUCUUGUUCAAAGUCAGCAAGCUGAUGCUGCAGCCACAGCAGAAGUGCUAAGGAAAUAUGGAGACCAUCUGUAUAGCAAACAAGAUUAUGAUGAGGCUAUGGCCCAGUACAUUAACACCAUUGGUCACCUUGAACCUUCAUAUGUGAUACAGAAGUUUCUGGACGCACAAAGAAUAUACAACCUUACAAACUACUUGGAAAAUUUACACGAGAAGGGUCUUGCUUCUAAAGAUCAUACUACUCUUCUCUUAAACUGCUAUACCAAAUUGAAAGAUGUUGACAAGCUGAAUGUAUUUAUUAAAAGUGAGGAUGG
rnacentral:misc_RNA from 1 species